rnacentral:misc_RNA from 1 species
GGAAGUAAAAGUCGUAAAAGGUUUCCGUAGGUGAACCUGCGGAAGGAUCAUUAAAGAGAAUAUGCCCUUCGGGGUAGAUCUCCCACCCUUUGUUUAUAUUACCUUUGUUGCUUUGGCAGGCCCGUCUUCGGACCACCGGCUUCGGCUGGUCAGUGCUUGCCAGAGGACCCAAAACUCUUAUUAUUAAUGUCGUCUGAGUACUAUAUAAUAGUUAAAACUUUCAACAACAGAUCUCUUGGUUCUG